rnacentral:lncRNA from 1 species
UCAAUCAGUAUUUUGUAUAUUGUAUACAAUUCAAUGGAUUAAAAUAUAUCUCUUCUCCUUUGCUCCUUCCUUUUCCUUUGUCCUGUCGGGCUUUGAUUACGCUAGCUUCAUUGCCGACCUUGAGUUGUCGGCGAGAUGAGAGUGAGCAUCUCCUUUUAGGAUGAAUAAUGCGUUAAUUGUUGGCAGUCUUUGGCAACCCUCUGUUGUGAUGGGUUUUACCUUCCUUUGUGUUAGAAUUGUCUUCACAUUUUCGCAUUUCGAUGAUGUUGUUGUGUGAAGGACCUAGUUCUCAUUUGGGUGUUUUUUCUGGAAUCUCGAAAUCGCUUAAUUUGUUUCAGCUUUUCACACUUAUUGUUUCAAGACAGCAAGAGGUGUGUCCAUUGCAACAGAGUGAGGGCGUGACAGGGCUCCAUGUAUCAUGGUGGCUUUUUCGCCUUAAAUGGUUGAACACUAACAUAUGGAUGAGGGUUUCGAUGCUUCCUUCUUGAUAGGUAAUCGCGAUCUAAUUCAAACAAAGUUUACUCUUUUCCCGAAAUUGGAUUUCAGGCCAUUUGAGUUUUCUCUUUGUUUUAUUUUUACAAUUUGUCUUGUGCUGAUUGUACAUUUGUACGGGGCUUGGUCCUCAAUUGUUUGAAUAAUAGUAUUGAGAAUAUUAGUAUAAGUUUACCUAGGAUAGGAUAUCUAAUACACUUUGUUCAACAAGUGACUUGUAGACAUCAUAAGUUAUUUAUGCAAUCUCAAUGAGAGGAUAUCAUUUACAUUUUUAAUAAGUUAUGAUUUCACUAUUGUAAGU